CCUACGGGAGGCAGCAGUGGGGAAUAUUGCUCAAUGGGGGAAACCCUGAUGCAGCCAUGCCGCGUGUGUGAAGAAGGCCUUCGGGUUGUAAAGCACUUUCAGUUGUGAGGAAAGGUUGAUGGUUAAUACCCAUUAGCUGUGACGUUAACAACAGAAGAAGCACCGGCUAACUCCGUGCCAGCAGCCGCGGUAAUA
rnacentral:rRNA from 1 species